ensembl:snRNA U6 U6 spliceosomal RNA
GCGCUGGCUCCGGCAGCACACGUGCUAACACUGGAGCGAUGCAGGGAAGGGUAGUGUGGUCCCUGUGCAAGGAUGACGUGGGAAUUCAUGAAGCAGUCCAUGUUUUU